ACAACCUGUUCUACCCAAACAGGUUAGGAACAGGGGGAGAGGGGGCUUUGGUGAAUCAGCCCAUUGUCUGUUAUGAGCAGCUCUCACCACUGAAUCAAGUCCAAGCUCUCCAAGGAGAACAAAGUCGAGGUGUGUCUCUGCCCAGUUUGCACAAGAGCAACAACAGCAGACAUCGGGGCCAUGCAGACCACCCUCUGUCGUCUGGCUUGCUGAGAAGCCCCUGCCAGCCAAUACCCCCACCACACAGGAGACGAAGAACAAGAAGCGUGGUUGCUGCAUCGCCACCCUCCCAUAGCUUGUUGUCUGUGGCAGAGCCCAGUCAGCUCAGCCAAUCAGCUCCCAGCAUCAUGGAACCUCUGCUCUGUCCAAACACUAUGAUGCAGGCCAGAGCACACAUCCAGACCCGGUUGGGUUCUCAUCGUACUAUAAAUGAACAAAAGGGUCUACUGCCCCGAACACCUAAACUCUUGGCACCCCUGGACAACCGCUCCAGAAAUGGCACCGCUCUGCCUGUACUAAAGCAACAUGUUCCCCUGAAGCCCA
ensembl:lncRNA